CCCAGGUUAAGAAUUCCCGAUAGCUAGAUGGGACCUUAGGCAAGUCGAUUCACCAUUCUGAGCUCGUAUCCCAAUCUGUCAAAUGGAGCCCAUAAUCCCCGUCCUUCUCCCCAAGCUGUCCUAAAAAUCUAAGUCCAGAAUGCCUUCGAUAAGUCUUUGUAAACUUUGUAAAAAGCCCCGGGCUAUUAACUCUUCAUUAUUCUUUAAGUGCCAAGUCCCAGUAACUCAACUGGGCCGACCCCAGUCCCAAGGGCCUGAGGAAGCAGAGGCAGCUUGGAGACAGCUGGUGGCACCAGCACAGAGGGUACAGUUAAAUUUCCAUCGCUGCUGGUCUUUACGGUUCCAAGGAAGGACCUAAUAAUACACAAGUAACUGCAAAGCACGAAAUUUCUGAAGAAGUAGGAUCACUGGUGGCAAUAUUCAGACAACCAAAGGAUGAUCCCCAAGUACUUAAGUUUGGAGAAACCUGUAAACAUGAGCACAGAUUAGGAAGGCAGAAAGAAAACUUUGAGAAACAAACUCUGAGGAACUCUCAUCCUCAGGA
rnacentral:lncRNA from 1 species